GCCUGGGUGGCUCAGUGGUUGAGCAUCUGCCUUCAGCCCAGGGCAUGAUCCUGAAGACCUGGGAUCGAGUCCCACAUCGGGCU
rfam:Canis lupus familiaris chromosome 1, whole genome shotgun sequence.